rnacentral:lncRNA from 1 species
CCCACAAGUCCCCUCAAAACCCCAGAACAACACAGUGCUCAUUAUCGAUUUUAGACAAAAAUCCCAAAAUCCCCACAAAAUCCAGACUCAAGUUUCUUCGUAUGAAAAAUAUAGGGCAUAAAAAACCAUCGUUAACCGGUAAAUCAUUCAAUAUCGACUUUGGUGUUUCGAAUUGAUAAUUAUUCUUCCUUUGCAGACUAUUUCUUGAAGCUUGUUGCUUUAGUUUGCAUCAUUAACGGUAAGAUCUAUUCCGUCCUUUUAUUUUUCUAUUGAUAUAUUGGUAUUCGAUUCGAGUUUUGAUGCAUUUAUUUUUUCUUUUCUUCUCAAUUUUUUUUUUUUUUUUUUUUGACAUUUUAAAGUUCUCAAAUGAUUAUGAAGCUUUAUUAGUUUCUGCUAGUAUAAAUGGAGAAGGAAUAGCAAAAGCUAGAGAUAUAACUAAGGAUUUUAAAUGUGCAAUUCAGCGUAUGGCAAUGGGUUUGGGAUAUAAUGAGGUUCUUUUCCUUUGUGAAUUUUGUUAUUUUUCAAUCAAUGUGAUAUCAGUCAGAUUUUUUGCUAUAUUUUUCCAUUGACCAUGUAUGUGAUGGCUUAAGAUUGGAAUUUAAACCUUUUUCAACACAAUUAUAAAUACUUUGUGAGGUUUAACAGUCAAGUGUUGUUUUGGGUAAAAUGCUAUGUGGAUUUUUUUUGUUUGUGAAAUGCUAUGAAGAUUCUCUUAGGUGACCUUUCUUUAUUUCUUCGGUCAUGGUAUACAGAGUUGAUUAUAAAACCUUCUUUAUGUUCUAUUUGCUGCACUAUAGUUUUGUUUUUUGAAGAUAAAUACCGCAAUGUGAUUACUUAUUAGAAUGGGCAUCUAAAUAUCGUGUUUAUUUGCUUACCAUGGUGAAGUGUUGUUCUGGUAUUUUGAUUAGAUACUAUUGGACAUGCCUUAGAGUGAAUAUGAUAUCUGCUUUUAUAGCUAGUGUCAAAAUUUCUACUAAUAGUUGGUAUUAUGCCUUUGCUUACUACAAUUAGUGAUGAGGAAUACUAGUUUGUUUUUACUUAGCUAUUGCUUACUGUAAUAUGUUUAAUACUAGUACUUAAGCAGGAGUUGGUUGUUUUUAAUAUCACAUUUUGAAGAUUUCCAAGUCACGACAUGGAUCUGUAAUACUGAGGUUUUUGGAAUACUUUGGAUAGACUCGGGCAUCAAUGCACUCUAGGUGUUCGUGUAAAUGUUGAAAUCAAGAGCAAUAAUUCCAGUGUCAUCCAAAGUCCUACAAAGAUCAUUGAAUUUAAUGGAGAUGGAAGUGGUCCUUACCAAUAGAUAUUUCAAUACUGGGUCAUUUUCUUUCUGUCUUUAUUUCCAUGUAGCUUCCUCUUAUUAGAAGUGGUGAUUGUAUUUAAUCACACACUUUGAAGCUUUCAAUUUAGUUUGUCUUCUUGAAAAAUUAUCAAAUCACAGUUAUGGUAGCUAUGAUGUUCAUGGCAUGAUCAUUUUGAAGCUUUCAAUCUAGUGGUCCUUCUUGGCGUGUUCAUGACUACCGAUGUUUACCAGGUUCAUGUCAUCGAGCAGACCAACUAGUUCAAAAAGAUGUACAACUUAAUCCUAUGUGACAUGAUAUAUAGCUUGCAAAAAAUGGUCAUUCCCUACAGAUGGGGGAUAUUCCUUCAGAAGUUCACUUAGAUUUUGUUAUUAUUUCGUGUUCAUGUGGUUUUCCGUAUUUAAACGAAUAUUUAUGCCUAAUAUUACUCGAUGAAUUUUGUCUCGAAUGGGGAUUCUACAACUAUAUUUAAAUGAAUAAGGAUUUUGAACAUAUAAAUGAUGAAGAGGGUUGGUUACCUGUUUCUUAAUGGGGUUACUGCUGGAGCAUAGUUGUUUGAACAGGUAGCAGAUUGGUCUCCAUUAGUUGAUAGAACUUAAAUGAGGAGCAAAGAGCCUAUUGGCAAUGUGAUUAGGUUUGAACCUUAUAAUGUAAAUAAUUGAUACUCAUGAAGUUCUUUUUGAUGAUUUUGCUAUUGUAAUUGGAAAUAUGUUUGAAAAUAAAAUUCUUGAACUUGAG